CGGGAUUUCUAACAUCACAUGCUAUGACAUCCUCUUCAAAAAUAAAAAUACUUUAUAAAUGAUGCAUGCAAUAAUGCUUAACACACAUACAAUAACAUAGUUAAAAUUGCUUAGAAAUUAUACCAUUCUAAUUAACAUUAGACCCACUCCAAAUACUUAGAAAUUUUAGUUUCCAAGAAACAAAAAACUUCAAUAUCAUUGGAGCUAACAUACUUUUGUGCAGGCAGCCCCCCUUCUACAAAGACUGCCUAAAUCCCUGUAAUUCUAUGGUAGCAUCUGCUUAAGAUUAGAAUAAAACUCAUAACCUGGGCACCAGAGCAAGAACUCAGAGGGAGUCCAACCAUUCCUUCUAUAUAUUUCAUAUCAAUCUGCCUCCGAAUAUGUUCAGCAACCAAACCAUCAUUAGUAUCUCUAUGAAUCCCUAAAACCUUGCCAAGGUGAUGUGUAGCUGCCACCUCACGUUCAGAGCUAUAGACUUUUGUGGGUUCAGUAUCAGCUGCCAGUUUUUCCAACCUUCCAUUGACGUUGGCAAUAGUGGAGUCCAUAGAGUUGUCACUAACCUCCUUUUAUCUCUGUCAAACUGCCUCUGGCAAUAAGAAACCAAACCUUAUACUUUUUCCUCCUAGAAACAAUUCCUAAUGAUACCUGAGAACGAUCCUGUUUUCCACGCUUCUUUCUUCUCCCUCCUGCCAGAGAGUUGGUUUUUUUCCAAAUUGCCGUAGAUUUCAUUAGAAUUCAGAAAAUUUGUAGAAAAGGUGUCUCGCUCUUACUGCACACCUGACACUUUCUUUCGUGUGAUUAGGAUUAAACUUCCCUGCAUCUAACUUUAUCUAUAGCUCAGAUUAAGGUUUAGUGAAAUAGGACCCACGGAGCUGACAACAUGGUUUAAGAUUUGGCAAAACUCAAGAACUCAUGAGAGACUGAAAGAAGCUGCAAGAGAUAUUGAGCUGAGAUGGCUACCAUCAUAAUCUGUGAGUAAAUGAGUGACUAAAUCAAAACCCCAACCAUCCAAAAUCUUAAAAAACAAAUCAGUAGCUGCCUAAACUUUUCAUUUGCGAAAACUACAUUUUUCAGGAUAAAAAUCUCAUGUUUAUAUCAGAUAAUGCACUUUAUAUUCCAUCAUCUGGAGAAUGUUGAAAGGCAUGAUGAAGACCAGUACAUGAGGUCUCAUGGGUGUGGUUGUGUCAACAAGAGGUUCAACAAUGGAUAAACACCACUGGGGCAGGAUUUUACUAAUACAAUUAAUAAUGAUCAUGCUCCAUGUUCAAUCAAUCAAGGGUUAGAUUCAGGGUUUGAGCUGGUAAUUGGGAGCUUGAAUUCCAAACACCAAAUUCUGUUACCUCUUUCCAAAGGGGAGGAAGUGACAAACGAAUUCAUGUGCUGGAAGCAUUGUAGACAAAUGUAAGGGAUUUAAUCUUGCAGACAACUUGCAGGUAUUAAUUCAGGAGUUUAGAACAAAUCCAUUUUUGAUUUCUCGGGUGAUCUGGAAAAAUGAAACCAGCAACGCAUUCAGAGAGAGAAAAAUGCAUCUCUCAUGUGAAUUCAAGCAUCGAGCAAUGUGAGAAUUUAUGAGAAGCAGCACAAGGCUUGCAAGUGUACUUGCCUCCUUUUGGGAACUUAGCUAAGAUCCUCUGGCAUUUGUUUAUGAACCUCUUCCCUUCUCUCAUCCUCUUGUUUAUGAACAUAUACAAGGAAGAAUAGACAUAGCAUUACCUAUCUGGCAUUGAAAUAUAAGGUUUGAUCCUGCUAGGCUCCUUUUAAUAGA